CCUCGCCGCUCUCGGCCCGGGACGCGUCCUGAAACCGGAUCACAGACGCUUCAGUUUCUGCCCUUCUGCUAGAUGCCAAGAAAAAGAAGCUCCUUUUCGCUUUUUAUUAUUUUAAAAUGUUUUUAUUUUUUACAUUUUUUUCAUCAAAUUAUUCUUUUUACUUUUUGUAGUCAAAAAACUAAAGUUAUCAAAGUGGUUUUAAUAAUUUCUUGUUAAUAGUGAUUUUAAAGAUAUGCUUCUUGUUGUUAUAAAACAAACAAGAAGCAGUAAUUAUUAAGAGUGUUUUCGUUUCCAGGAUAAACGUGGAAUAUUUGCGGAAAACAGGAAAGCGCUGAGUAAAUAUUUGAUGUUCCAGAUGGUCGAGACGUCGUAACGCAGCCCUCCACUGUGUUUACCCGACAUCCAGCUGGGAGCCCUAAAAUCUGUGAAAUAAACGAAGGCGACUCACGGCCUGCAGCGUGUUCUUAGCCAGGCCGGCCUCAGGGCCUUCUCCCGCUCCAGCAUCUCCAGGAUCAGUUUGCCCCACUCCUCCUCCAGAUCGUUGGGAUGGAGGCCCGGAGGCAGCUUAAUCCGCCCGAACUCGAUCCAAACCUGGAAACGGGAACGGUUGACGCAUCAUAAGUCUGGCUCAGCGGUAGACUCAGCUGAGCGGGAACACAGGGGGAGCUUUUAUUCCUCAGCCAUCAUGUGUUUGUGUUCUGCAGGGUUCGCUCCAAGAACCAGCGCAGCGUCAUGCACACGGCGCCGCUCACCUCCAGCAGCUUGUAGAGACGCUCGAUGUGAGACUUCUCCGUCUCCUUGCUGGGGAUCUCCGUCUCUUUGAAAUGGAUGUACUCGUUAUAAAGUGCCUGCAGGAGGAACGGACUGUUAAUGGAUGCUGCGACUCAAAACCAGUCACCUUCACAGUCACUGAUGGAGCGUCACAAACAAACAGGCUUCAAUAACUUCAUGCACGCCUCAUUUAUAACAAGAACUGCAAGUUUGCUCCUCAGGGCUUCUGGGAGGUUUUUCCUGCUUCAGUUUCCUAAAAAUGAACUAGCUUUUGUUAGGUUUGAGAUUAAUUUGGGCAAUGUUUGGUCUAAAAGUGUUUUAAACUGAAAUAAAAGUGAUGACGUGGAUAUUCA